rnacentral:tRNA from 1 species
UUCUUGGUGUAGGGCACAUUAAAUUUUGAUUUUAAAAGGAAUAGAUCAAUCUAUUGGAAUUAA